rnacentral:misc_RNA from 1 species
UUUUUGAUAGCAUUUAAGGUCUAACCUGCCCAUUGAUUAAUUAUUAAAAGGCCGCAGUAUUUUGACUGUGCAAAGGUAGCAUAAUCAUUAGUUUUUUAAUUGAAAGCUUGUAUGAAUGGUUGGACGAGAUAUAAACUGUCUUUAAAUUAUUAAUAGAAUUUAAUUUUUAAGUUAAAAAGCUUAAAUUUUAUUAAAAGACGAGAAGACCCUAUAAAUCUUUAUAAAUUUUUUUAUUUAAUUUUUAAGGUUUAAUAAUUUUUAUAUAAAUUAAUUUAUUUUAUUGGGGUAAUAAAAAGAUUAAAAAAAUUCUUUUUAAUAAUUUACAUUGAUUAUUGUUUUUUAUGAUCCUUUAUUAUAGAUUAUAAGAUUAAGUUACUUUAGGGAUAACAGCGUAAUUUUUUUGGAGAGUUCUUAUCAAUAAAAAAGUUUGCGACCUCGAUGUUGGAUUAAAAUUAAUUUUAGGUGUAGAAGUUUAAAUUUUUAGUCUGUUCGACUAUUAAAAUUUUACAUGAUCUGAGUUCAAACCGGUGUAAGCCAGGUUGGUUUCUAUCUUUAUUUUAUUAUAAUAUUUUAGUACGAAAGGACCAAAUAUUAAAUAUGGAAUAUUUUGUUUAUUGAAUUAAAUUAAUUUUUAAUUACUUUGGCAGAAUAGUGUAGUGAAUUUAGAAUUCAUAUAUGUAAAUAAUUUUACAGGUA